AGUGAACGCUGGCGGUAGGCCUAACACAUGCAAGUCGAACGGCAGCACAGUAAGAGCUUGCCCUUACGGGUGGCGAGUGGCGGACGGGUGAGGAAUACAUCGGAAUCUACUUUUUCGUGGGGGAUAACGUAGGGAAACUUACGCUAAUACCGCAUACGACCUACGGGUGAAAGCAGGGGAUCUUCGGACCUUGCGCGAUUGAUUGAGCCGAUGUCGGAUUAGCUAGUUGGCGGGGUAAAGGCCCACCAAGGCGACGAUCCGUAGCUGGUCUGAGAGGAGGAUCAGCCACACUGGAACUGAGACACGGUCCAGACUCCUACGGGAGGCAGCAGCGGGAAUAUUGGACAAUGGGCGCAAGCCUGAUCCAGCCAUACCGCGUGGGUGAAGAAGGCCUUCGGGUUGUAAAGCCCUUUUGUUGGGAAAGAAAAGCAGCAGGUUAAUACCCCGCUGUUCUGACGGUACCCAAAGAAUAAGCACCGGCUAACUUCGUG
rnacentral:rRNA from 1 species